GAGGCUUGUUUAAUUCCAAGCACCGCUUCGACAGUGACAGCCACCGUUCAUUUGCACUGCAGGUCGUUGAGUAUAUGUGGAGUAUCCCGAGAGCCCUCACUGAAGACACGAAGACCCUCAUUGUUUCUCCCAUUGUCAAUAAAACAUACAAUUUCAUUCAUCAAAGCAUAAUGAGUUGUUAUUCUUGAAUAUAUAUAUUUUGUGUAUGUCUUAAUAUGGUUAUAGUGAGUCAACUCCUGCCUCAUCAGAAGUGGCUGGACACUAUCUGCUGAAUGGACUGUUGUUACUCUGCUUUUCAAUAACUCCCAGACUACGGGUAAGUGAAUCAGAGAAAUAUAGACAUUGUCUGGAAAUACAAUAAUCCAGCUGGGCAAAAAUUAACAUCUUCAAUCAUCUUACAUUUCUGUGUAAAAGUCAAUUUUCCAUGCUAACACGAAUGUGAAACAUUCCCUCCAAAACCCCAAAAGUGUCUUUAAUAUGUCACCUUACGGCUCAAAAUGUAAAACUGACAUUUACAUACAUACUCCAAUAAAUUAAUAAUCAAACAA